UUGAGCUCAAAUAAUACCCUAAGUAGUAAGACUUUAAAGUUAAAACUUAAAGAACAUGGCGGCUUAAAUUAUUCAGGGGAACUUACUGCAUAAACGAUGAUCCACGAGUCCACUUCCUGUUUUUACAGCUUAUAUACCGCCGUUUAGUGUUUAACUAAGUUAAGCACAAACAAAAAACCUUUUUAAAUCAGGUCAUGGUGUAGCAGAUAAAUAGGUGUAAGCGAGUUACAAUAAAAAUUUUUUUCGGACAAGUUCUAUAAACACUAUUAAAGCUGGACUUGAAAGUAAAGUUAAACAAAAAUAAAAUUUGAAUUUUUUAUUUAAGUGU
rnacentral:rRNA from 1 species